rnacentral:rRNA from 1 species
GGGAGGCACAUUAGAAUUUGUCAUGGGGACCUGACCAUCUUUCGUCCAGAGCGCUUACGUGUAUCUGCUUGCACGGGAUAACCUCAUUAUGUAUAUGAGCUGAAUGUACGUGAGAAAUAAGAUCGCUACUCGUGCCAGCAGCGCGUAUACGAGAUCCGAGCGUAUCAGAUUAUGGGUUUAAAGGGUGCGCAGCGGGAUCUAAGUCAGGGUGAAAGACGUGGCUCAACCAUCGCAGUGCUUGAUACUGGAUUCCUUGAAUAUACUGAGGUAGGCGGAAUGUGGCAAGUAGCGGUGAAAUGCAUAGAUAUGCCACAGAACACCGAUUGCGAAGGCAGCUUACCAAAGUAUGAUUGACGCUGAGGCACGAAAGCGUGGGGAUCGAACAGGAUUAGAUACCCUGGUAGUCCACGCCCUAAACGAUGAACACUCGAUGUCGGCGAUAGACAGUCGGCGUCCAAGCGAAAGCGUUAAGUGUUCCACCUGGGGAGUACGCCCGCAAGGGUGAAACUCAAAGGAAUUGACGGGGGCCCGCACAAGCGGAGGAGCAUGUGGUUUAAUUCGAUGAUACGCGAGGAACCUUACCCGGGCUUGAAAGUUACUGAAGAUAGCAGAGAUGUUAUCGUCCUUCGGGACAGGAAACUAGGUGCUGCAUGGCUGUCGUCAGCUCGUGCCGUGAGGUGUUGGGUUAAGUCCCGCAACGAGCGCAACCCCUGUGGAUAGUUGCCAGCACAUAAUGGUGGGGACUCUAUCCAGACUGCCUGUGCAAACAGAGAGGAAGGCGGGGACGACGUCAAGUCAUCAUGGCCCUUACGUCCGGGGCUACACACGUGCUACAAUGGGCGGUACAGAGGGCAGCCAACCUGCAAAGGUGCGCCAAUCCCUUAAAGCCGUUCACAGUUCGGAUCGGGGUCUGCAACUCGACCCCGUGAAGCUGGAUUCGCUAGUAAUCGCGUAUCAGCAAUGACGCGGUGAAUACGUUCCCGGGCCUUGUACACACCGCCCGUCAAGCCAUGAAAGUUGGGGGUACCUAAAGCAUGUGACCGCAAGGAGCGUGUUAGGGUAAAACCGAUAAUUGGGGCUAAGUCGUAACAAGGUAGCCG